CCUUCCACUGGUUGCCUUUAAGAGAGCAAUUUUAUUAGAGCCCUGCAGCAGGGAGCAGGUAGAGAAAAGCCAGAUUACCCAAGUCUAAAAGGUGUGUAUAUGCUUUCCUUCUUCCAGAAAUGGCCUUUCGUUCAUGUCUUGCAUUGUAAACAAUCCUUCGGUAACCAGACCAAAAACUUCCCUCAUGACUUUUGUAUCCUGGCCUAUGCUCCCUUAGAAAUUUGUAUAUACCUUUGUUAUAACAUUUACCAAUUUUUUAAAUAGAUUUACCUGAUUUUCCUAAUUCCUUUGUUCUUCAAGGGCAGGCCUUGUGUUUUACUAAUCUUUGUAAUUCCAGUGGAGUGCCUGGCAUACAUUAGAUCAUUGGUUUUCAACUCUAGCUGCACAUUGGAAUCAAUUGGAGAGUUUAUAAACAAACUUGGAUGCACAAGCUUCACUUACAGGUGAGGCCUCGAGCCUUUGUACCCUUGUAAAACAAACAAAAAAAAGCUUCCCAGAUGAUUUGAAUGUGCCAUGGGGUUGAAUGUCACUGUAUUAGAUGCUCCAUAAAUGUUAACUAAAGAAAGGAUAGGCAUUACUACUUCAUUUUUUCCUACUAUUUAAUUUAGGAAUACUUUAUGUUUUUUAAGAUAGAAAAAAUUUAGGAAUGUUCAUGGACUAAGGGGGAUGAUUCAGAGGAGAUAAAGAAAUUGAAAAUUUAAGAUAAGUAAUAGUUUAUACAUAACUUCUUUUUCAGUUAAUGAUAAUGCCUACUUUGGACUCAUGGGUUUUUUAGUAUUUUAUUUUAUUUUUAUUUUUAUUUUUAUUUUAUUUUAUUUUAAGGUUUAUUUAUUUAUUUUGAGACAGAGAGAGGGAGAAAGAAUCCCAAGCAGGCUCCAUGCUGUCUGCGCAGAGCCUGAUAUGGGGCUCGAACUCAUGAACUGUGAGAUCAUCACCUGAGCCAAAACCAAGAGUCAGACACUUAACUGACUGAGCCACCCAGGCACCCCAUUUUGUAAAUAAAUGGUAAACACAUGUUUAAAGAAAAAUUGCUUUUAACUCAGUAGAUGAUCUAGUUUUAGACUGAUAGGGACUCACUCAAAAUGAUAGUUAUAAAGGAAAAAAUUAUUGAGGAAAACUUGUCAAAUUAUCACUUUUAAGUGUAUUCAAAAAAAGGUUGGCUAUAACACAGCCUACAGUAGUGAUCGCUUCAUCAUAAACUAUUUAAAUAUGAUAGAGUUCAAAAAAGUAUUUUCUUUUUUUAAAAAAAAAUUUUUAAUGUUUAUUUUUGACAGGGGUGGGGUAGGGGCAGAGAGAGAGGGAGACACAGAAUCUGAAGCAGGCUCCAGGCUCUGAGCUGCCAGCACAGAGCCCGACGCAGGGCUUGAACCCACGAACUGUGAGAUCAUGACUUGAGCUGAAGUCAGUCAGUCAUUUAACCAACUGAAUCACCCAGGUGCCCCCCCAAUAAAGUGUUUUCUAUUCUCAUUUUACUCGUAACUCUCAAAAAGACAUGGAAGUUUUUUACAGUUAUAGGAAACAGUGUCAAGUAAUUUUGUAGUUGAAAUGGGAAAAUGCCCAUUAGUUCUUUUUAACUUUACUAUUAGUCCACAAGGCAGUGAACCUUUUUGGUAUCACAUUCCUUGAGAAUCAGGCGAAACUUGAUUCCUUGGAUUCCUUUUUUCAGAAGAGGAUAUGUAAAUUUUGCAUAUACAAUGCCUUCUAGGGCAGUGGGUAUAAUAACUGGCCACCCAUCAGGAUCACCUGGGGAGAUUUUGUGAAAUACAGGCUUCCGGGUCUCAGUACUCUAGAGAUGGAUUCAGUAGAUCUGGAAUAGAACUUGAGAUCCUCUAUUUUUUUCAAAAGCUUUCCAAGCAAAUUUAACAGGCAUCUAGACUUGGGAAAUCUUUAAUGUCUCCUGACUUGAUCAGGGAAGAGAUAACUAUGUGGCAUAAUGUCCAACAUAUGGGAAUUAAAGGGGAUAUUGGCAGGGUUCUCAGGUAAACUAUAAGAUGCCUCAUUAAAUUUUAAUUUAAGAUAAACAAGAAAUAAUUUUUAGUGUAGAUCUUUCCCAUGCAGCUACUGU